rnacentral:lncRNA from 1 species
AGUAUGAGAGGAGAGGUAGGUAGAAUGGUCUGCAUGGAGAGAGCUGGGGCAUCUGGGCCCAGGUAGCUCCAGGACAACUGUGCCAGCAGCUGCUCUACAGUCUCCUCCAGGAUCUCCAUCUACUGAGCCCACCUGGAAGCUGCAGGGUGGAGCUCUAGUGUCCAACCAGGUCCAUCUCCCAGAGUGCUCGGCAGGGCAGAGGAGCAUGGGCAGCAGUCUGGAAGAGCAAAAGAAAUCGGGCACAAAAUUCCUAAGGAGACAAGGUUUGUUCUAAUUCCCCAACCUUGCCACGACUGACCUGGGUCAUCACCAUGUGCUUAUUGAAGAGCCUUGGAAUACUGUAUAGACCCGUACAGAGUUGUUCAAAUAGGAACCCUCCCCUGGGAAGAUGAAGCUUCUUGGACGUGACCACCUCCAGGAACCAACGGGCGGGCAACCUUUAUGCAUGUGUGACCAGACCUCCAACUAUAAGCAUGGUGUGCAGUACAGAAGAGCCUGCUAUGAAACUGAAAUUGAUGGGACAUUUUAUAGGAAUUGAUAGAGAUGUUGGUCCUCAAAAGCUUUAAAUCUGUGAUCUGCAAAAUAAAAUGUGUUGGAAACCUCUGAACAAAA